GAUGAACGCUAGCGGCAGGCUUAAUACAUGCAAGUCGAGGGGCAGCAGGACUGUAGCAAUACAGUUGCUGGCAACCGGCAAACGGGUGCGGAACACGUACGCAACCUACCCAAAACUGGGGGAUAGCCCGGGGAAACCCGGAUUAAUACCUCGUAACCUUUUUAAGUGGCAUCACUUGAUAAGUAUAGCUCCGGCGGUUUUGGAUGGGCGUGCGCCUGAUUAGGUAGUUGGUGCGGGUAACGGCCCACCAAGCCUGCGAUCAGUAACUGGUGUGAGAGCACGACCAGUCACACGGGCACUGAGACACGGGCCCGACUCCUACGGGAGGCAGCAGUAAGGAAUAUUGAUCAAUGGACGCAAGUCUGAACCAGCCAUGCCGCGUGAAGGAUGAAGGUCCUCUGGAUUGUAAACUUCUUUUAUGGGGGACGAAACCCGGAUAUUCUUAUCCGAUUGACGGUACCUCAGGAAUAAGCACCGGCUAACUCCGUG
rnacentral:rRNA from 1 species